GUCGGGGUGGCUCAGGCUGGUUAGAGCGCUUGACUCAUAAUCAAGAGGUCGCGGGUUCAAAUCCCGCCCCCGACA
rnacentral:tRNA from 2 species